rnacentral:rRNA from 1 species
CAGCACCUCAAGUGGUCAGGAUGAUUAUUGGGCCUAAAGCAUCCGUAGCCGGCGCUGUAAGUUUUCGGUUAAAUCUGUACGCUCAACGUACAGGCUGCCGGGAAUACUGCAGCGCUAGGGAGUGGGAGAGGUAGACGGUACUCGGUAGGAAGGGGUAAAAUCCUUUGAUCUAUUGAUGACCACCUGUGGCGAAGGCGGUCUACCAGAACACGUCCGACGGUGAGGGAUGAAAGCUGGGGGAGCAAUCCGGAUUAGAUACCCGUGUAGUCC